UACGUAGGUGGCAAGCGUUAUCCGGAAUUAUUGGGCGUAAAGAGCGCGCAGGUGGUUGAUUAAGUCUGAUGUGAAAGCCCACGGCUCAACCGUGGAAGGUCAUUGGAAACUGGGGAACUUGAGUGCAGAAGAGGAGAGUGGAAUUCCAUGUGUAGCGGUGAAAUGCGUAGAUAUAUGGAGGAACACCGGUGGCGAAGGCGGCUUUCUGGCCAGUUACUGACGCUCAUGCGCGAAAGCUGGGGUAGCGAACCGGAUUAGAUACCCCCGUA
rnacentral:rRNA from 1 species